AUCUAGAGAUUGGCCACUUCGCCACCAAAAUAGAUCUUACUACUAGUCAAAAAAUGGUCCGUGGGAGAGCAAAGUGAGCUACGAUUUUUCUACCGUGUGGUAUGCAAUGAAUUCUUCUAUGGCGAUGACUGCUCUGUUUUCUGCCGUUCACGGGAUGACUCUUUCGGUCACUAUACCUGUGACGAUGCUGGCAACAGAAAUUGUUUGCCUGGAUGGCAAGGAGAAUAUUGCGCAGAGCCUAUCUGCUUAUCUGGAUGUAGUGAGGAACAUGGUUCCUGUGAAGUCCCUGGUCAGUGCAAAUGCCGGUUUGGAUGGCAGGGCCCCCUCUGUGAGGAGUGCUUACCUUACCCAGGGUGCCAGCAUGGCACCUGCAAACGUCCCUGGCAGUGCAGGUGUGAGAAGGGAUGGGGUGGCCUGCUGUGCGACAAGGAUCUUAAUGUUUGAAUUUAUAUAUUCAGUGUUUUCCUGGUUAGGUGUGUUUCGUUUAGGCUAUAAUGGGCUGUUAUGGUUGAGAAACCACUUGAAAUAAACUAAACUAAAUAAUAAUGUCCUAUUUCUUUGGAUUAGGUUGCCAUGUUAGCAACAGUGUUUAUGACAUUUAAAACUAAUUAAAUAAACACAACUGAAAAUUG